rnacentral:tRNA from 1 species
GUGGCUGUAGCUCAGUUGGCUAGAGCAUCAGAUUGUGGCUAUGAGGGUCGGGGGUUCAAGUCCCCUCAGCCACCCCU